CAGAGGUCCCGAGCGUUGUUCGGAUUCACUGGGCGUAAAGGGUGCGUAGGUGGUGAGGUAAGUCGGAUGUGAAAUCUCCGGGCUCAACCCGGAAAUGGCAUUGGAAACUACCUUGCUAGAGGAUUUGAGGGGGGAUUGGAAUACUUGGUGUAGCAGUGAAAUGCGUAGAUAUCAAGUGGAACACCAGUGGCGAAGGCGAAUCCCUGGAAAAUACCUGACACUGAGGCACGAAAGCUAGGGGAGCAAACAGGAUUAGAUACCCUGGUAGUCCUAGCCCUAAACGGUGCUUGCUUGCUGUAAGAGGAAUCGACCCCUCUUGUGGCGGAGCUAACGCGUUAAGCAAGCCGCCUGGGAAGUACGGUCGCAAGAUUA
rnacentral:rRNA from 1 species